rnacentral:rRNA from 1 species
CCUACGGGAGGCAGCAGUGAGGAAUAUUGGUCAAUGGACGAGAGUCUGAACCAGCCAAGUAGCGUGAAGGAUGACUUCCCUAUGGGUUGUAAACUUCUUUUAUAUGGGAAUAAAACGUUCCACGUGUGGGAUUUUGUAUGUACCAUAUGAAUAAGGAUCGGCUAACUCCGUGCCAGCAGCCGCGGUAAUACGGAGGAUCCGAGCGUUAUCCGGAUUUAUUGGGUUUAAAGGGAGCGUAGGUGGAUUGUUAAGUCAGUUGUGAAAGUUUGCGGCUCAACCGUAAAAUUGCAGUUGAAACUGGCAGUCUUGAGUACAGUAGAGGUGGGCGGAAUUCGUGGUGUAGCGGUGAAAUGCUUAGAUAUCACGAAGAACUCCGAUUGCGAAGGCAGUUCACUGGACUGCAACUGACACUGAGGCUCGAAAGUGUGGGUAUCAAACAGGAUUAGAUACCCCUGUAGUC